UGCCCCAGUAACGGCGAGUGAAGCGGCAACAGCUCAAAUUUGAAAUCUGGCCACCGGGUCCGAGUUGUAAUUUAUAGAGGAUGCUUUUGGCGAGGUGCCUUCCGAGUUCCCUGGAACGGGACGCCAUAGAGGGUGAGAGCCCCGUCUGGUCGGACACCGAGCCUCUGUAAAGCUCCUUCGACGAGUCGAGUAGUUUGGGAAUGCUGCUCAAAAUGGGAGGUAUAUGUCUUCUAAAGCUAAAUAUUGGCCAGAGACCGAUAGCGCACAAGUAGAGUGAUCGAAAGAUGAAAAGCACUUUGAAAAGAGGGUUAAAAAGUACGUGAAAUUGUUGAAAGGGAAGCGCCUAUGACCAGACUUGCGCCCGGUGAAUCAUCCAGCGUUCUCGCUGGUGCACUUUGCGGGCACAGGCCAGCAUCAGUUUGGCACGGGGGAAAAAGGCUUCGGGAAUGUGGCUCCCUCGGGAGUGUUAUAGCCCGCUGCGUAAUACCCUGCGCCGGACUGAGGUACGCGCAUUGCAAGGAUGCUGGCGUAAUGGUCAUCAGCGACCCGUCUUGAAACACGGACCAAGGAGUCGUCUUCGUAUGCGAGUGUUCGGGUGUCAAACCCCUACGCGUAAUGAAAGUGAACGUAGGUGAGAGCUUCGGCGCAUCAUCGACCGAUCCUGAUGUUCUCGGAUGGAUUUGAGUAAGAGCAUACGGGGCCGGACCCGAAAGAAGGUGAACUAUGCCUGUAUAGGGUGAAGCCAGAGGAAACUCUGGUGGAGGCUCGCAGCGGUUCUGACGUGCGAAUCGAUCGUCAAAUAUGGGCAUGGGGGCGAAA
rnacentral:rRNA from 1 species